AUGUUUGCAGGCGAAAUGGGUCGUCAUUUGCCCCAGGGCCUUGUGAAGCUCUGGAGUCGCUUCAAGCGUUGGAGAAACCGGAGGAUCCAGCCGGAGCAGCCGGUGGGCGAAGGUGGUCCAGAUGGGCCUAACGGCGUCCACGUCCAUCCUUCACCCACUCCUCAGGUGGGUGACUCAUACACACCCCAUCCACCUUCUCCUCCACGCUCUCUUGUGUUUUGGUCUGCUGGUCCUUCUGUUUCCCCUUCACCCCCUCCUGUUCCUUGUUGCUUUGAUGUUCUUGCUUUUUCUCCUUCACCCUGUCCUACUCCUUCUUUUUCUUCUUCUUCUUUCUCACUCUCUUCUGCUUCCUCUGGUACUUGGUGCUCUGACAUCUUUCCCUUUUCUCCUUACCCUUCUCCUACUCCUUCUUCUUCUUCUUCUUCUUCUUCUUCUUCUUCCUCACUCUCUUCUGCUCACUCUGCUUCUCUGUGCUCUCCUCCUCACUCUCUCACCUCUCCUUUUUCUUCUUCCUCGCCCUCCUCUGCUUACUCUGGUACUUGUUGCUCUGCUGUCCUUCCCUUUUCUCCUUCACCCUCUGCUGUUCCUAGUUGUUCUGCUGUCUUUCCUUUUUGUCCUUCACCCUCUCCUACUCCUUCUUCUUCUUCCUCACCCUCUUCUGCUUACUCUUGUCUUUGUUGCUCUGAUGCCCUUCCUUUGUCCCCUUUACCCUCUCCUGUGACGGAGAGAGUGAAGGAGCUCAUCCAGCAGCUCAUCUUCCAGGAGAGGUAAGGAAGACAGUGAUGAGGAGGGGGCUGCUCUUGGAAGACUCAACUGUGGGACACUGUUUCCUACAGUGAAACCAGUCUUGGAUUUGACCCCAGGGCACCUUUUUUUGUAGUUUUAUUUCUAUACCAUAAGUUUAAAUGUUCAUUCCAACUUUGAGAACUAGCCUUUGCGUCUGGCUGGGCAGUUUUCAGGUCCCCGGCAGCGUCUGGCGCUGGGACCUUUCUUUCUUUCCUGGAUGAACACAUGUUUAAAUGUUAAUUUUUACCCUGAGAACUAGCCUUUGCGUCUGGCUGGGCGGUUCUCAGGUCCCAGGUAGCGUCUGGCACCUGGGCCAGUUUUUGCUGUUUUUUAUAUUUUAGCAUGGCGGUUGGAUGGACUUUUCUUUCACCCUGAAGGCUGAGUUCAGCGCCUGGCAGGGCCGUCGAUCCCCCCAUGCAAGUUGCCCUAGCGUCUGGCGGGGUAGCUAUUAUGUUUCCUCCACAGCGAUAGAAGGUCAGCUCAGUCACAGUGGCACUGGGGACACAUGUCGUCUCCCACUGAAGCUCCUCGGUGGCAGAUGACUGCAGUGUCAGGUGUUAUGGAAGGGAAACACAUGGCUGUCUGCAG
rnacentral:lncRNA from 1 species